rnacentral:rRNA from 1 species
AUCUAGGGGAGCCGUAGGGAAACCGAGUCUUAACUGGGCGUCAUAGUUGCUAGGAUUAGACCCGAAACCGAGUGAUCUAGCCAUGGGCAGGUUGAAGAUUGAGUAACAUCAAUUGGAGGACCGAACCGACUAAUGUUGAAAAAUUAGCGGAUGACUUGUGGCUAGGGGUGAAAGGCCAAUCAAACUCGGAGAUAGCUGGUUCUCCCCGAAAGCUAUUUAGGUAGCGCCUCGGACGAAUACUACUGGGGGUAGAGCACUGUUAAGGCUAGGGGGUCAUCCCGACUUACCAACCCUUUGCAAACUCCGAAUACCAGUAAGUACUAUCCGGGAGACACACGGCGGGUGCUAACGUCCGUCGUGAAGAGGGAAACAACCCAGACCGCCAGCUAAGGUCCCAAAGUUAUAGCUAAGUGGGAAACGAUGUGGGAAGGCUCAGACAGCCAGGAUGUUGGCUUAGAAGCAGCCAUCAUUUAAAGAAAGCGUAAUAGCUCACUGGUCGAGUCGGCCUGCGCGGAAGAUUUAACGGGGCUAAGCUAUACACCGAAGCUGCGGCAAUGUGCUUUGCACAUUGGGUAGGGGAGCGUUCUGUAAGCCGUUGAAGGUGCAUUGUAAAGUGUGCUGGAGGUAUCAGAAGUGCGAAUGCUGACAUGAGUAACGACAAAGGGAGUGAAAAACUCCCUCGCCGGAAGACCAAGGGUUCCUGUCCAACGUUAAUCGGGGCAGGGUGAGUCGACCCCUAAGGCGAGGCCGAAAGGCGUAGUCGAUGGGAAACGGGUUAAUAUUCCCGUACUUCUUACUAUUGCGAUGGGGGGACGGAGAAGGCUAGGUGAGCCUGGCGACGGUUGUCCAGGUCCAAGUACGUAGGUGGAUGAAUUAGGCAAAUCCGGUUCAUCAUUAACACUGAGAUACGAUGUCGAGCUACUACGGUAGCGAAGUCAUUGAUGCCAUGCUUCCGGGAAAAGCCUCUAAGCUUCAGAUAGUAAGAAAUCGUACCCCAAACCGACACAGGUGGUCGAGUAGAGAAUACCAAGGCGCUUGAGAGAACUCGGGUGAAGGAACUAGGCAAAAUGGUACCGUAACUUCGGGAGAAGGUACGCUCUUAACGGUGAAGUCCCUCGCGGAUGGAGCUGUCGAGAGUCGCAGAUACCAGGUGGCUGCAACUGUUUAUUAAAAACACAGCACUGUGCAAAAUCGAAAGAUGACGUAUACGGUGUGACGCCUGCCCGGUGCC